AAGUCGUAACAAGGUUUCCGUAGGUGAACCUGCGGAAGGAUCAUUCAUAAAUGUGUUUUUAACACAGUUGGGUACAUGCGCGAGGGUACACCGAGACCAUUGCAUGUAUAUGACGUUAUGUCCCCAUUGAACCUUUUGUGCAUUGUAAUCUUAUUCAACUUUACCUUGACUGAAUUUUAUUCUUUUUGAUAUUUUUUUGACUUGAGAUUUCUUUUUUCUUUCAAAAUAUCAUAUAUGAAUUUUAUACAACUUUUAACAAUGGAUCUCUUGGCUCUC
rnacentral:misc_RNA from 1 species